rnacentral:rRNA from 1 species
UAAUCGUAGAUCAGCAUGCUACGGUGAAUACGUUCCCGGGUCUUGUACACACCGCCCGUCACACCACGAGAGUUUGUAACACCCGAAGCCGGUGGAGUAACCUUUUUGGAGCUAGCCGUCGAAGGUGGGACAAAUGAUUGGGGUGAAGUCGUAACAAGGUAGCCGUAUCGGAAGGUGCGGCUGGAUCACCUCCUUUCUAAGGA